GACGAACGCGGCGGCGUGCCUAAUACAUGCAAGUAGAACGCUGAAGGAGGAGCUUGCUCUUCUGGAUGAGUUGCGAACGGGUGAGUAACGCGUAGGUAACCUGCCUGGUAGCGGGGGAUAACUAUUGGAAACGAUAGCUAAUACCGCAUAAUAGUAGUUGUUGCAUGACAACUGUUUGAAAGGUGCAAUUGCAUCACUACCAGAUGGACCUGCGUUGUAUUAGCUAGUUGGUGGGGUAACGGCUCACCAAGGCGACGAUACAUAGCCGACCUGAGAGGGUGAUCGGCCACACUGGGACUGAGACACGGCCCAGACUCCUACGGGAGGCAGCAGUAGGGAAUCUUCGGCAAUGGACGGAAGUCUGACCGAGCAACGCCGCGUGAGUGAAGAAGGUUUUCGGAUCGUAAAGCUCUGUUGUAAAGAGAAGAAACGAAGUGUGAAGAAGUGGAAAAG
rnacentral:rRNA from 1 species